GCUCAGUAACACGUGGAGAACGUGCCCUUAAGCGGAGGAUAAUCUCGGGAAAUUGAGGAUAAUACUCCAUAGGUCAGGGGAUUUGGAAUAACCCCUGGCUCAAAGUUCAGGCGCUUAAGGAUCGCUCUGCGGCUUAUCAGGUCGUAGUGGGUGUAACGUACCCCCUAGCCGACGACGAGUAUGGGCCUUGAGAGAGGGAGCCCAGAGUUGGAUUCUGAGACACGAAUCCAGGCCCUACGGGGCGCAGCAGUCGCGAAAACUUCACACUGGGGGCAACCCCGAUGAGGGAAUUCCUAGUGCCAGGGCUUUUUGUCCUGGCUUUUCUCCAGCGUAGAUUACUGGAGGAAUAAGGGCUGGGUAAGACGGGUGCCAGCCGCCGCGGUAAUACCUGCAGCCCGAGUGGUGGUCGAUUUUAUUGAGUCUAAAACGUUCGUAGCCGGUCCGGUAAAUCCCUGGGUAAAUCGGGAAGCUCAACUUCCCGAAUUCCGGGGAGACUGCCGGACUUGGGACCGGGAGAGGCUAGAGGUACUUCUGGGGUAGGGGUAAAAUCCUGUAAUCCUGGAAGGACCACCGGUGGCGAAGGCGUCUAGCUAGAACGGAUCCGACGGUGAGGGACGAAGCCCUGGGUCGCAAACGGGAUUAGAUACCCCGGUAGUCCAGGGUGUAAACGCUACAGACUUGGUGUUGGGGGCCCUUCGGGGGCGUCCAGUGCCGGAGAGAAGUUGUUAAGUCUGCUACUUGGGGAGUACGUCCGCAAGGAUGAAACUUAAAGGAAUUGGCGGGGGAGCAC
rnacentral:rRNA from 1 species